rnacentral:ribozyme from 1 species
GCCACUCGAAACUUUGCACACCUCUACGUGGUGGGCGGCAGGCAACACAAGUGUUUGUGGCUAAGAUGCAA